AGCUGGGCAAUUGCUUUGCGAGGCUGGGUGUUGAGUCGAGCCGCGGGAAAGGCGCGUGUCGGCCUCUCACUGGCGCAGCCUGCACUGCCGCUGCCGCCUCGCCCCGCCCUGCCCUGGCGUUGUCUCUGGCACUGUGGCGGACUGACCACGGCCCGGGCAUGGGCUGCAAGGGAGACGCGAGCGGUGCGUGUGCCGCGGGUGCGCUGCCGGUGACAGGUACCCAGGGGUGGCGUGAGGAGGCCUCGUGGACAAAGAGAGGGUUUGGGGCACAAGGCGACCCUGUGCCCCUGUCACAUUGAGCUUCCGCCUCUACCGUGACUCAGUUUACCCUCUGGUGUCCUAUCCCUUCCCCUAUUCGCGAGCGCCCCGAGUUGCCCUCAGUGGUCUUCUUGGCAAGGAGUUUGCUAUAAAAUGGGAGUUCUGGUUGUACUCACUGUUCUGUGGCUGUUCUCCUCAGUAAAGGCCGACUCAAAAGCCAUUACAACCUCUCUUACAACAAAAUGGUUUUCCACUCCAUUGUUGUUAGAAGCCAGUGAGUUUUUAGCAGAAGACAGUCAAGAGAAAUUUUGGAAUUUUGUAGAAGCCAGUCAAAAUAUUGGAUCAUCAGAUCAUGACGGUACCGAUUAUUCCUACUAUCAUGCAAUAUUGGAGGCUGCAUUUCAGUUUCUGUCACCCCUCCAGCAGAAUUUGUUUAAAUUUUGUCUGUCCCUUCGUUCUUACUCAGCUACAAUCCAAGCCUUCCAGCAGAUAGCAGCUGAUGAACCUCCACCAGAAGGAUGUAAUUCGUUUUUUUCAGUGCAUGGAAAGAAGACUUGUGAAUCUGAUACCCUUGAGGCUCUUCUACUGACAGCCUCUGAAAGACCCAAACCUUUAUUGUUCAAAGGAGAUCACAGAUAUCCCUCGUCUAAUCCUGAAAGCCCUGUGGUGAUUUUCUACUCUGAGAUUGGCUCUGAGGAAUUUUCCAAUUUUCACCGCCAGCUUAUAUCAAAAAGCAAUGCAGGCAAAAUCAAUUAUGUAUUCAGACAUUAUAUAUUUAAUCCCAGGAAGGAGCCUGUUUACCUCUCUGGCUAUGGCGUGGAAUUGGCCAUUAAGAGCACUGAGUACAAGGCCAAGGAUGAUACUCAGGUGAAAGGAACUGAGGUAAACACCACAGUGAUUGGUGAAAAUGAUCCUAUUGAUGAGGUUCAGGGGUUCCUCUUUGGAAAAUUAAGAGAUCUGCACCCCGACCUGGAGGGACAGUUGAAAGAACUCAGAAAGCAUCUUGUAGAGAGCACCAAUGAAAUGGCACCUUUAAAGGUUUGGCAGUUGCAAGAUCUCAGUUUCCAGACUGCUGCUCGAAUCUUGGCUUCUCCUGUUGAGUUGGCUUUGGUUGUCAUGAAGGAUCUUAGUCAGAAUUUUCCUACCAAAGCCAGAGCAAUAACAAAAACAGCUGUGAGCUCAGAACUUAGAACCGAAGUGGAAGAGAAUCAGAAGUAUUUCAAGGGAACUUUAGGAUUACAACCUGGAGAUUCAGCCCUCUUCAUCAAUGGACUUCACAUGGAUUUAGAUACACAGGAUAUAUUCAGUCUGUUUGAUGUGUUGAGGAAUGAAGCUCGGGUAAUGGAGGGUCUGCAUAGAUUGGGAAUAGAAGGCCUUUCUCUGCAUAAUGUUUUGAAGCUGAACAUCCAGCCCUCUGAGGCAGACUAUGCCGUAGACAUCCGGAGUCCUGCUAUUUCAUGGGUCAACAACCUGGAGGUUGAUAGCAGAUAUAAUUCGUGGCCUUCUAGUUUACAAGAGUUGCUUCGACCCACCUUUCCUGGUGUUAUUCGGCAGAUCAGGAAAAACUUACAUAAUAUGGUUUUCAUAGUUGAUCCUGCACAUGAGACCACAGCAGAGUUGAUGAACACAGCUGAGAUGUUCCUUAGUAAUCAUAUACCACUAAGAAUUGGUUUUAUCUUUGUGGUUAAUGACUCUGAAGAUGUUGAUGGGAUGCAAGAUGCUGGAGUGGCUGUUCUUAGAGCAUAUAAUUAUGUUGCCCAAGAAGUGGAUGAUUAUCAUGCCUUCCAGACUCUGACACAUAUCUAUAACAAGGUGAGGACUGGAGAAAAAGUGAAAGUUGAACAUGUGGUCAGUGUCCUGGAGAAGAAAUAUCCGUAUGUAGAAGUGAAUAGCAUUUUGGGGAUUGAUUCUGCUUAUGAUCGGAAUCGGAAGGAAGCAAGAGGCUACUAUGAGCAGACUGGAGUUGGACCUCUGCCCGUUGUGCUGUUCAAUGGAAUGCCCUUUGAAAGGGAACAGCUAGACCCUGAUGAGUUAGAAACCAUCACAAUGCAUAAAAUCCUGGAGACCACCACCUUCUUCCAAAGAGCGGUGUACUUGGGUGAACUGCCCCAUGAUCAAGAUGUGGUAGAGUAUAUCAUGAAUCAGCCAAAUGUUGUUCCACGAAUCAAUUCUAGGAUUUUGACAGCUGAACGAGACUACCUGGAUUUAACAGCGAGUAAUAACUUCUUUGUGGAUGAUUAUGCUAGAUUUACUAUCUUGGAUUCCCAAGGCAAGACUGCUGCUGUAGCCAAUAGUAUGAACUAUCUGACAAAGAAAGGAAUGUCCUCCAAGGAAAUCUAUGAUGAUUCUUUUAUUAGGCCAGUAACUUUUUGGAUUGUUGGGGAUUUUGAUAGCCCUUCUGGACGGCAGUUACUGUAUGAUGCCAUCAAACAUCAGAAAUCCAGUAACAAUGUUAGAAUAAGCAUGAUCAAUAAUCCUGCCAAAGAGAUAAGCUAUGAGAACACUCAGAUCUCCAGAGCAAUCUGGGCAGCUCUCCAAACUCAGACUUCCAACGCUGCUAAGAACUUCAUCACCAAAAUGGCCAAGGAGGGGGCUGCAGAGGCCCUGGCUGCAGGAGCUGACAUUGCGGAGUUCUCUGUUGGGGGAAUGGAUUUCAGUCUUUUUAAAGAGGUCUUUGAGUCUUCCAAAAUGGAUUUCAUUUUGUCUCAUGCCGUGUACUGCAGGGAUGUUCUGAAGCUGAAGAAGGGACAGAGGGCAGUGAUCAGCAAUGGAAGGAUCAUUGGGCCACUGGAGGAUAGUGAGCUCUUUAAUCAAGACGAUUUCCACCUCCUCGAAAAUAUCAUCUUAAAAACCUCAGGACAGAAAAUAAAAUCUCAUAUUCAACAGCUUCGGGUAGAAGAAGAUGUGGCAAGCGACUUGGUAAUGAAGGUGGAUGCUCUUCUGUCAGCGCAACCAAAAGGAGAUCCAAGAAUCGAGUACCAGUUUUUUGAAGACAGACACAGUGCAAUCAAACUGAGGCCGAAGGAAGGGGAGACAUACUUUGAUGUUGUGGCUGUCGUUGACCCUGUCACCAGAGAAGCACAGAGACUUGCUCCUUUGCUCUUGGUUUUGGCUCAGCUGAUAAACAUGAAUCUGAGAGUAUUUAUGAACUGCCAAUCCAAACUUUCUGACAUGCCUUUAAAAAGCUUUUACCGUUAUGUCUUAGAACCAGAGAUUUCUUUCACUUCAGACAAUAGUUUUGCUAAGGGUCCAAUCGCAAAAUUUUUGGAUAUGCCUCAGUCUCCACUGUUCACUCUGAAUUUGAACACACCUGAGAGCUGGAUGGUAGAAUCUGUCAGAACACCAUAUGAUCUUGAUAAUAUUUAUUUAGAAGAGGUGGACAGUGUAGUGGCUGCUGAGUAUGAGCUGGAAUACCUGUUACUGGAAGGUCAUUGCUACGACAUCACCACAGGCCAGCCUCCACGGGGACUACAGUUUACCUUAGGAACUUCAGCCAACCCGGUCAUUGUGGACACCAUUGUUAUGGCCAAUCUGGGCUACUUUCAGCUGAAAGCCAACCCAGGAGCUUGGAUCCUCAGACUUAGGAAGGGACGCUCUGAAGAUAUUUAUAGAAUUUACAGCCACGAUGGCACUGAUUCUCCCCCUGAUGCUGAUGAGGUGGUUAUCGUCCUCAACAACUUCAAAAGCAAAAUUAUUAAAGUGAAGGUUCAGAAGAAGGCAGAUAUGGUGAACGAAGACUUGCUGAGUGAUGGAACGAGUGAGAAUGAAUCUGGAUUUUGGGAUUCCUUCAAAUGGGGCUUUACAGGACAGAAGACUGAGGAAGUGAAGCAAGAUAAAGAUGACAUAAUUAAUAUUUUCUCCGUUGCAUCUGGUCAUCUCUACGAAAGAUUUCUUCGCAUAAUGAUGCUAUCCGUGCUGAAGAAUACCAAGACUCCUGUGAAAUUCUGGUUCUUGAAGAAUUACUUGUCCCCCACAUUUAAGGAGUUUAUACCUUACAUGGCAAAUGAAUACAAUUUCCAGUAUGAGCUUGUUCAGUACAAAUGGCCCCGGUGGCUUCAUCAACAAACUGAAAAACAGCGUAUCAUCUGGGGUUACAAGAUCCUCUUCCUGGAUGUACUUUUCCCACUAGUUGUUGACAAGUUCCUGUUUGUGGAUGCUGAUCAGAUUGUACGAACAGAUCUGAAAGAGUUAAGAGAUUUCAAUUUGGAUGGUGCUCCUUAUGGUUACACUCCUUUCUGUGACAGCCGAAGAGAAAUGGACGGCUACAGGUUCUGGAAGUCAGGGUACUGGGCCAGUCAUUUAGCCGGGCGAAAGUAUCAUAUCAGUGCACUAUAUGUUGUGGAUCUGAAGAAGUUUAGGAAAAUAGCUGCUGGUGACAGACUCAGGGGACAGUACCAAGGUCUGAGUCAGGACCCUAACAGCCUUUCAAAUCUUGAUCAAGAUCUGCCCAAUAACAUGAUUCAUCAGGUGCCAAUUAAAUCCCUCCCUCAAGAAUGGCUUUGGUGUGAAACGUGGUGUGAUGACGCCUCUAAGAAAAGGGCAAAAACCAUUGAUUUGUGUAAUAAUCCGAUGACCAAAGAGCCGAAACUGGAAGCAGCUGUGCGGAUUGUCCCGGAGUGGCAGGACUACGACCAAGAGAUCAAACAGCUACAGAUCCGCUUUCAGAAGGAGAAAGAAACGGGAGCACUGUACAAAGAGAAGACAAAAGAACCAAGCCGAGAAGGUCCUCAGAAACGUGAAGAAUUAUGAUCUCUGGAGAAGGACAGGAAAUCACCCCAUUUGAAAAACAGUUUUUAUAAUAAAUGCUAGUUUUUUCUGAUCUGUCUAUACAACUGCUGAUAAGCCGGCUGGGCAGGAGUGCCACACCUUUUGAUUCUGAGCAUUUGAUUCUGACUUCUGUACUCUGGUGGCCACUGGAUCUUUGGGAUUAAAGCUCUGUUGGAUUUGUACCUCAGAGGAAGACCAAGUGGCUGAUCCUUUGGACUCUGUAAAGAGCAUUCUUCUAGUCAGAGGGUGGAAUGGCAGCAGCAACUGGAAGAAAAUGAGUUUUUUGGUGCCCACACCCAAGAGCACACACAUGCUGCACUGUCUCGGAAAGCAGGGCCAGCUAGAGCCACCAUGUUCUUCCUUACCUCAGUUUACCUGCGGCCUGCGCUGCACUGCAGAUGCCCACCCUGCCCUGGGUCUGGCCGGCGGAAGCUCUGUCCAAGGUCCACACACCUCCAGGUUUACGCCAACAUCCUUGUGCCCUCCCCACCUUCUCUUCCAACGCAUUAGGUGCAUUGUUUAAUUGAAAUCCAACCAACAAUUGUGUGUCAAGGCUGGUUUGGUGCAGUGGCUGGGCAAAUUAAUUUUGGGCCAGGAUGGGGGUGGGUUGCAGUGAGGGUAGGGAAAAUGUCAGGAGUAGGAAGGUUCGGGGGUUAAGGGAAGGGAAGGAAGACCAGAACUGGCCAUCCUCUUUUAUAAUCCAUUAGUAGCACCAUGGCUCAUUUGAAAUGAAAAUAUUACACUUAUUCCCCACCCAACCGCAGUGAACUUUCUAGGUAAUUGUUUUGAAAACAAUUUUUGUAUCUGUGAAAGUCUUUGCUUUUUCUUUCCACCUUCUAGAAAAGUCUGCUACCAGUUUCCUUACUGAAUACAGCCAUACUCAGCCCCUCUCGCAUCCAGCCCGUCAGGGUCAGGGUCAGGGUCAGGCUCCCUCAAGACGAGCACCGCAUUGUCUGCCCUCUUUUGCGUAGGAUUUUUCUCUCAGACCCAGGGGACAUUGCCUUGGACUUUUCUCUACAAAUGCCCUCAGAUGUAAGACCAGAAAUGAUUCUGCUUGUGGAACUCGUGGCUUUCUGUCCUAUUUUCCUUUUAUGUGAGCCCUGCAGGUUGCCUUUGGCGCCCACACCAGUUCUGUCUUCAUGUCGCUGCAUCGUGAAGCCCCAUUUGCCUUUAGUCCCUGCUUUGUGUGUCUUCACUUCCACAGCCAGUGUUGCCCCUCAGGGCAUACUUUGCUGGUGAACGGGCUGUAGAGUCUUGAGUAUGUUAUUGGCCUAAGUGGGCAUGAGGCCCCAGCAUCCGACUCCAUCUGCCAGGCUGCAGGGCACAGCAGCACUGGCAUAGACAGGCACGCUCUGUCUUCCAACGUGCACCAGCCUUUUCUUACAUAUUUUGCCUGUUUUUAAAAAAUACGAGGAGAGGGUGCAGAUGGAUACUGUGCCCUCACCCUCCUAAGCCAGGUAAUAUAUUGAUGUGCAGACUUUUAAGAAAUCUUAGUCUUAUCACAAAUAUCAAGUAAUUUAUUUUUUCCAUUUUCAAAUGCAAAAGUUAGCCUAGGAAGCCUCCCAGUCAUCCUGAAGGACCUUUUGACUUUGCUUUUAUAAUUCUGUUAAAAAUUGAGGAGGGGAUUAAUGAGUACAAUGAAAACAAAACAAAACAAAAAAUUAAGAAGAGGAAAGCUCAAAAGAGGAUAAGAGACUGAAAAGGCACCUCAGAAUGGCUGCUGUGGGCAGAGUCUGUGACAUGACUUUCCCCGCCCUGCCCCUCUGUUCAGAGCAGCUGGAAAGAUGGGAUCAGUAAGAUUAAAAAACUUUUGUUCGGCCAGGCGUGGUGGCUCACACCUGUAAUCCCAGCACUUUGGGAGGCUGAGGCGGACGGAUCAUGAGGUCAGGAGUUCAAGACCAGCCUGGCCAAUAUGGUGAAACCCCGUCUCUACUAAAAAUACAAAAAUUAGCCGGGUGUUGUGGCUCACCCUCUAUUCCCAGCUACUCGGGAGGCAGAGACAGGAGAAUCGCCUGAACCCAGGAGGCAGAGGUUGCAGUGAGCUGAGAUCGUGCCACUGCACUCCAGCCUGGGUGACAGAGCGAGACUCCAUCUCAGAAAACAAACAAACAAAAAGAAACUUUUGUUCAAGCUGCAUCUUCACAUUGAAUGAAAGCAUUCAGACGGGUGACUGCUGCUGUCCACAACUGUGGGCGGAAGUGUGCCUUUUCCCAGUUUCUCGUCCAGGAGGUUGCAUAGCAAAUACUCAAGUCACUGGGAUAUAUGCUUUCCAAAUGCUGGCCCCCAUAGCACCUUUCCCCAUGUCUUUCUACCAAGCCUCUUAUGUUUAAUCUGUGCAGGGAAGACAAGAGUAGACCAUAUUCUCUGUGUGCUGUGCAUGUCCUGGUGUCACUCAUUGCCUCUUAUCUGUCGCCAUUCUAAUAUAAGUCAGCUUAAUAGUUGACUCUGAAUAAUGCAAAACCCAGCUUGCUUCCAGAAUGGCCUAGGACCCUCCUCCUCCUGCCAGUUUUUUUUUUUUUUUUUGGUUCAUGUGGCAUAAUCAUCUUUCAAAAUUAACCAAAUGCCCCAGAAAAUGAUGUUACCACUAAAAUAUUUUCUCCAAGAAGGCAUACUGUAACAGAAAAGAUAGGUAAGAUAUUUUUUUCCCAAGAAGUAAGAAUUGAUUGUGCUGAAUGUUCAAACUCUGGAAACUGUUCACAGUAUGUUGUUCUUAGCUGUUAUUUAUAUAAAGUGAAUUAUUUUCUCUCUCAAUCAUGCCAUAGUGGAGACUUUUGUUUGUGAGUAAGUGACAGAGUAAUAUGAAAUAAUGUGAUAUGUCAGAGUGACAUGCAGCAUCCUGAGCCUGUUUUUAUGUUCUGUGUACAGUGGCAUUUGAUUGAGAUCAAAGCCUGUCACAGCCUGCUGCUGGGGGUGUGGGGAUAUGCCAGAGUCCUGUGUUUGGUUUUAGAAGUUUACUGAAUGUUUCCCACAUGGAGAAUAAUGGAUGGCAUGUUAGUUUCUUUAAGAGUGGUAAAGUUGUACAUCUGUCAUUGUUGCAUUUCGAAUUGAACACAUAGAUGCUUGCCUGUCUGCUUGGGUGAAUGCCUCUUGGGAGAGCGAAGAUUACGUGCAUGAUGUAUGUUAAGAAACAGUUUCCGGUCAGGCACAGUGGCUUACACCUGUAAUCCCAGCACUUUGGGAAGCCGAGGCGGGCGGAUUAUGAGGUCAAGAGAUAGAGACCAUCCUGGCCAACACGGUGAAACCCCGUCUCUACUAAAAAUACAAAAAUUAGCUGGGCAUGGUGGCACACACCUGUAGUCCCAGCUACUCGGGAGGCUGAGGCAGGAGAAUCACUUGAACCCGGGAGGUGGAGGUUGCAGUGAGCCGAGAUCAUGCCACUGCACUCCAGCCUGGCAAUAGAGCGAGACUCCGUCUCAAAAAAAAAAAAAAAAAAAAAAAAAAAAUUAAAACAGUUUCCAUAAAUGGAGCUUAAUUUGCUCUGCUGUCCUUAAGCCCUCGUGGGUUUUUUUUUAAGAGAGUCUCAUUCUGUCACCCAGGCUGGAGUGCAGUGGUGCGAUCUUGGCUCACUUCAACCUCUGCCUCCCAAGUUCAAACAAUUCUCCUGCCUCAGCCUCCUGAGUAGCUGGGAUUACAGGCGCCUGCCACCAUGCCUGGUUAAUUUUUGUAUUUUUAGUAGAGAUGGGGUUUUACCAUGUUGGUUGGCCAGGCUGAUCUCAAACUCCUGACCUCAGGUGGUGAUCUGCCCACCUCGGCCUCCCAAAGUGCUGGGAUUACAGGCGUGAGCCACUAUGUCCGGUCAAGCCCUCGUGUUCUGAACCUUGUCAAGGCUCUGCCUGAAUGAGUUUUCAUCUGAUUGUGGGGACCAAGUCCCUGAGUAGAGGGCCAAGAGCUAGGGACAGGGGGAAGAGACUGGCCCAGGUGGUAGGGAGGAAAGAACUCCCAGAGUUUCCUUUAGCCAGGAAACCUGCUCUACUGACCCCGUGACUUGGACAGUCAGACAUCACCCUGAGAGUGACAAGUGUAAAAUGACUCCCUUCCUCCCCCGCCCUCCGGAAGUAUAUUUAGAUACUUGAAAGCAGUCCUUUUCUAAAAUGGCCUUACCUAUGUGGCCUGAACGAUUAAAAGAAAGAACUCAGAGUUACAAGGGAAAAAGAAAAAGAGUUACAAGGGAAUUGUAGUCUUUUUCUGAAUAGAAUAUUAGUACUGUGGUAUUGCAUUUCAUGGGAAUGGAAAUGUAUUGGUAAAGCUACCUGAUGGAAGCUUUCUCUUGGUAACAAAAAUGGAGGGUGUAUUAUGUGCAGUUAUUUAAAUAUAUGUAUUCCAUUGUUGCGUGGUUUUUUUCCCCCCUCAAGACAGAGAUUUGCUCUUGUUGCCCAGGGUGGAGUACAAUGGUGUGACCUUGGCUCACUGCAACCUCUGCCUCCUGGGUUCAGGUGAUUCUCCUGCCUCAGCCUUCCGAGUAGCUGGGAUUACAGGUGUGCGCCACCACACCCGGCUAAUUUUUGCUUUUUUUUUUUUUGAGACAGAAUCUCGCUCUGUUGCUCAGGCUGGAGUGGAGUGCAGUGGCACAAUCUCAGCUCACUGCAGCCUCUGCCUCCCGGGUUCAAGAGAUUCUCCUGACUCAACCUCCUGAGUAGCUGGGAUUACAGGUGCCUGCCACUAUGCCUAGCUAAUUUUUGUAUUUUUAGUAGAGACGGGGUUUUGCCAUGUUGGCCAGGGUGGUCUCGAACUCCUGACCUCAAGUGAUCCACCCGCAUCGGCCCCCCAAAGUGCUGGGAUUAUAGGCGUGAACCACCGCGCCUGUCCCAUUGUUGUGUAAUUUUAAUAAUUAGUUUUUUAAGUACUUGAUUUUAUGGGCACAUUUUUGUGGGAUGAUUGGAGUUAAUCAAAUAAAGCUUGUCAUGUGUGUAGUUUGGUAAGAUAACUUCUUUAAAUUCAUGUUUUCUCUGCCUUGAGGUAGUGAGGGAAAGAUCUUAAUCAGUAUUUUGGUAAUUAACUGAUUGAAUUCAAGCAAAUGAGACAUCAUGAACUUCAGUGGUUAUUGAUAUUUCAGGGUAUAUACCUGAAAUGCCUAGAGGAUACAGAUUUCUCAUUUCAUUCUUUGGUCUUUCAUUUCUCUAUAUACAGAAAUGAAAUGACACUUCUGGGAGGCAGUAGAAGCAGGAAGUCAAUGAAUUGAGUAGAGGGUCCCAUUCCCUCAGGCUGUCAUUGAUCAGUGACAAUUUAUAAAAACAAACUGCAAAGUCUGUGGCAAGUGGCUGCCUGCUUCCUAGAAGGAGCCCAUGAAGGUUAAACUCUGUGGUCGGUAUUUGCAAGCGCCGGGCGUGGUGGCUCACGCCUGUAAUCCUAGCACCUUGGGAGGCCAAGGCAGGCGGAUCACCCGAGGUCAGGAGUUUGAGGAUUUGCAAGCAAAAGGUCCUCUCCUGAGUCUUUCCCAGAUACCCAGCAGUGCAGAGGCUAGCUGUGGAAGGUUGCAGUGGGACAGGAAUGUAUUGUAUGCCUUGCCUUACUUGUCACCAUUGAGAUUUCCAGAGAAAUGGGCAUAACGUCUCUUAACAACAACAGCAGAAAGCAAAAUACAUUAACUUAAGGUUGACAACAAAAGAUUAUCAAGUACCAUGUUUUCCAACCAACCAGUUAUUCGUGGUAAUAAUAAAAUAAAGGUGGGAAAAUGUUAUAAUUUUUAAGGAAACUGUGUACUUUAAAAAUCUUCUUUAUGAAUAUCCAAUGUUACUGUAAUCCUGCUCCAUUAAAUGCAGCAUUGUUGUCAGGUGCUGCCUCUUGCUUGGGAACAGCAUUGGGCUUUUAAAUGUCUGCAGAAUCUCUGCGUUCGAAGGGAAUUGAGAAUGAACUUCCUGGUACUGUAAUGAAAAUAAGGUCUGCUCAACACAGUAAACGUUUCCUCUCUUCUUUAAAA